UUGACCUCGGAUCAGGUAGGAAUACCCGCUGAACUUAAGCAUAUCAAUAAGCGG
rnacentral:rRNA from 35 species